rnacentral:rRNA from 1 species
UACGUAGGGGGCAAGCGUUGUCCGGAAUCAUUGGGCGUAAAGCGCGUGUAGGCGGCCCAGUAAGUCCGCUGUGAAAGCCCAGGGCUCAACCCUGGGAUGCCGGUGGAUACUGUUGGGCUCGAGUCCGGAAGAGGCGAGUGGAAUUCCCGGUGUAGCGGUGAAAUGCGUAGAUAUCGAGAGGAACACCUGCGGCGAAGGCGGGUUGCUGGGCUGAUACUGACGCUGAGGCGCGAAAGCCAGGGGAGCGAACGGG